UACGUAGGGCGCAAGCGUUGUCCGGAAUUAUUGGGCGUAAAGAGCUCGUAGGCGGCUUGUCACGUCGGGUGUGAAAGCCCGGGGCUUAACCCCGGGUCUGCAUUCGAUACGGGCUAGCUAGAGUGUGGUAGGGGAGAUCGGAAUUCCAGGUGUAGCGGUGAAAUGCGUAGAUAUCUGGAGGAACACCGGUGGCGAAGGCGGCAUCCUGGACCGGUAUUGACGCUGAGGCGCGAAAGCCAGGGGAGCAAACGGG
rnacentral:rRNA from 1 species